GAUGAAGAACGUAGCGAAAUGCGAUACGUAGUGUGAAUUGCAGAAUUCAGUGAAUCAUCGAAUCUUUGAACGCACAUUGCAUCUCUCGGUAUUCCGGGAGGUAUGCCUGUUCGAGCGUCAUUUGUACCCUCAAGCUCUGCUUGGUGUUGGGUGUUUGUUCCGCCUCUGUGUGUGAACUCGCCUCAAAACAAUUGGCAGCCGGCGUACUUGUUUCGGAGCGCAGCACAUUUUGCGAUCCAGAUCAACGUACAGCGGCAUCCAAGAAGCCUUAUUUAACGCUCUUGACCUCGGAUCAGGUAGGGAUACCCGCUGAACUUAAGCAUAUCAAUAAGCGGAGGA
rnacentral:misc_RNA from 1 species